rnacentral:lncRNA from 1 species
GAUUGCUUACUCACAUGAAGAAUUUAACACCCCGAGUAAGGCUUAAAUCCACAUCGAUGAGGAGCAAGCCCAUGACCAGGGAGGUCCCUAGAUAGUAGAAUAAGUCAUUCCGAUAUGAGUAAGACUGACACUGACCAUUCAAGAAAAUGAGAACCUAAAUGGUCAAAAACAACAUGAGCUUAGUCAAAUUUUUAAAAUAAUGCCAUGUUUAACCUUUUAUGUAACAAUUAAUUUUCCAUCAUAGGAAAUAAAAUGUAUUUCAUUUUUUCAGGUGAGCAGAAACAAAGGCUGGACAGAGGUCCUCCAGCAGCUUGGCCUGGAAAAAACAGCCUGUGGUGCCGUCAGGAAGAUAUACAGUAAAUACCUUUAUGCAUUUGAAGUACCUGCUCACAGUCACGUGACCAAAAACACUGACACUGAAGCCAGGGUGAGCAGAAACAAAGGCUGGACAGAGGUCCUCCAGCAGCUUGGCCUGGAAAAAACAGCCUGUGGUGCCGUCAGGAAGAUAUAUAGUAAAUACCUUUAUGCAUUUGAAGUACCUGGUGAGUCUGUGAUUGCAUAGUUUUUUUUCAGAACAGUUUGUUUAAUGAUACUUGUGUGGAUAGUUUCAAACAGAAGUUGUUUAUACAGAGGAAGCUGUUCUACAGGGAAAAUGAGGGAAACAAUACACCGGACAAACAGGUAAUACAAUGAGGGAAAGAAUGUAUGGUCACCUUAAUGAUAUAAGAACCGGAAACGAUGUAAAACCAGUCUUUAUACAUUUUAACAGUCACAACCACGUCAUUGACGACGCCGACGUUACAAUACUAUUAGCAACAAUACCAAACAUCAACAUAAGACUAAGAACAGAAGAAGCAUUAAUCUCAAUAUUUAAAACAAAACAACCAAACGGAAUGAAUUUAAUACAGUAACAUGACGGAAAACAUAAAAAGGAAACCCAAAAUACUGCCAGCACCACCUGAAGCGUUCGAAUUACUAACGAGCAAGUUAAGACAGUGCAAAACUUGCAACAAACUUAUAAAAGGAAGCUUUCUAAUUUUAACAGACACUACAACACACAUUUCAAGACCAGAAUAUCAUUCCAAUGUAUCGAUUGUGAAAAACAGUACACC